rnacentral:rRNA from 1 species
AUACGGAGGGGGCUAGCGUUGUUCGGAAUUACUGGGCGUAAAGCGUACGUAGGCGGACUGAUCAGUUGGGGGUGAAAUCCCAGGGCUUAACCCUGGAACUGCCUUCAAUACUGUCAGUCUCGAGAUUGGAAGAGGUGAGUGGAAUUCCUAGUGUAGAGGUGAAAUUCAUAGAUAUUAGGAGGAACACCAGUGGCGAAGGCGGCUCACUGGUCCAAUACUGACGCUGAGGUACGAAAGCGUGGGGAGCAAACAGGAUUAGAAACCCUAGUAGUCC